rnacentral:rRNA from 1 species
UACGGAGGGGACUAGCGUUGUUCGGAAUUACUGGGCGUAAAGCGCACGUAGGCGGAUUUGUAAGUCAGGGGUGAAAUCCCGGGGCUCAACCUCGGAACUGCCUUUGAUACUGCAAAUCUCGAGUCCGGAAGAGGUGAGUGGAAUUCCUAGUGUAGAGGUGAAAUUCGUAGAUAUCGGGAGGAAACCCAGUGGCGAAGGCGGCGAUCUGGGAAGAUACUGACGCUGAGGUGCGAAAGCGUGGGGAGCAAACAGG